rnacentral:rRNA from 1 species
UUAACGAGGAUCCAUUGGAGGGCAAGUCUGGUGCCAGCAGCCGCGGUAAUUCCAGCUCCAAUAGCGUAUAUUAAAAUUGUUGCAGUUAAAAAGCUCGUAGUUGGAUUUCUGGCUUGGUGCGCGCCGUCCGCUUCGGUUUCGGAGUGAGUGCGGUUGUGCGCCUGCCAUCCUUCUGGUUAGUAUGCUGUGCCCUUCACUGGGUGUCAGGUGCUAAUUGGAUCUUUUACUUUGAAAAAAUUAGAGUGUUCAAAGCAGGCUCGCGCUAUGAAUACAUUAGCAUGGAAUAAUAAUUUAGGACUUUUAUCCUAUUUUGUUGGUUUCUAGGACGAAAGUAAUGAUUGAUAGGGAUAGUUGGGGGUGCUAGUAUUCAGCGGCCAGAGGUGAAAUUCUUGGAUUCGCUGAAGACUAACUUAUGCGAAAGCAUUCACCAAGGAUGUCUUCUUUAAUCAAGAACGAAAGUUGGGGGAUCGAAGACGAUCAGAUACCGUCGUAGUCUCAACUAUAAACUAUGCCGACUAGGGAUGGGCAAACGUUGCUUUUACGACUUUGUCCGCACCUUAUGAGAAAUCAAAGUCUUUGGGUUCCGGGGGGAGUAUGGUCGCAAGGCUGAAACUUAAAGGAAUUGACG